AGAGUUUGAUCCUGGCUCAGAUUGAACGCUGGCGGAAUGCUUUACACAUGCAAGUCGAGCGGCAGCGCGGGGCAACCUGGCGGCGAGCGGCGAACGGGUGAGUAAUGCAUCGGAACAUGUCCAGUCGUGGGGGAUAGCCCGGCGAAAGCCGGAUUAAUACCGCAUACGCUCGAGAGAGGAAAGCGGGGGACCGAAAGGCCUCGCGCGAUUGGGUUGGCCGAUGUCCGAUUAGCUAGUUGGUGAGGUAAAGGCUUACCAAGGCGAUGAUCGGUAGCUGGUCUGAGAGGAUGAUCAGCCACACUGGGACCGAGACACGGCCCAGACUCCUACGGGAGGCAGCAGUGGGGAAUUUUGGACAAUGGGGGCAACCCUGAUCCAGCCAUGCCGCGUGCGGGAAGAAGGCCUUCGGGUUGUAAACCGCUUUUGUCAGGGAAGAAAUCUCUUGGGCUAAUACCCCAGAAGGAUGACGGUACCUGAAGAAUAAGCACCGGCUAACUACGUGCCAGCAGCCGCGGUAAUACGUAGGGUGCAAGCGUUAAUCGGAAUUACUGGGCGUAAAGCGUGCGCAGGCGGUCUUGCAAGACAGGUGUGAAAUCCCCGGGCUUAACCUGGGAACUGCACUUGUGACUGCAAGGCUGGAGUACGGCAGAGGGGGAUGGAAUUCCGCGUGUAGCGGUGAAAUGCGUAGAUAUGCGGAGGAACACCGAUGGCGAAGGCAGUCCCCUGGGCCUGUACUGACGCUCAUGCACGAAAGCGUGGGGAGCAAACAGGAUUAGAUACCCUGGUAGUCCACGCCCUAA
rnacentral:rRNA from 1 species